rnacentral:rRNA from 1 species
AGAGUUUGAUCCUGGCUCAGGAUGAACGCUAGCGACAGGCUUAACACAUGCAAGUCGAGGGGCAGCGGGGUUGAAGCUUGCUUCAACUGCCGGCGACCGGCGCACGGGUGAGUAACACGUAUGCAACCUGCCCGUCACAGGGGAAUAACCGGAAGAAAUUCCGACUAAUUCCGCGUAACACUGUUUUCAGGCAUCUGGAGACAGUCAAAGGAGAGAUCCGGUGACGGAUGGGCAUGCGGCGCAUUAGCUAGUCGGCGGGGUAACGGCCCACCGAGGCGACGAUGCGUAGGGGUUCUGAGAGGAAGGUCCCCCACACUGGUACUGAGACACGGUCCAGACUCCUACGGGAGGCAGCAGUGAGGAAUAUUGGUCAAUGGUCUGACGACUGAACCAGCCAUGCCGCGUGAAGGUGACGGCCCUAUGGGUCUUAAACUUCUUUUGUAAGGGAGCAAUAAGGUUUACGUGUAGACCGAUGAGAGUACCUUACGAAUAAGCAUCGGCUAACUCCGUGCCAGCAGCCGCGGUAAUACGGGGGAUGCAAGCGUUAUCCGGAUUUAUUGGGUUUAAAGGGUGCGUAGGCGGUCUGUUAAGUCAGCGGUGAAAUUUAGGGGCUCAACCUCUACCGUGCCGUUGAUACUGGUGAGCUUGAAUGCGGAUGCCGUGGGAGGAAUGUGUGGUGUAGCGGUGAAAUGCAUAGAUAUCACACAGAACACCGAUUGCGAAGGCAUCUCACGAAUCCGCAAUUGACGCUGAGGCACGAAAGCGUGGGGAUCAAACAGGAUUAGAUACCCUGGUAGUCCACGCUGUAAACGAUGAUGACUAACCGUCUGCGAUACACAGUCGGUGGCCAAGCGAAAGCGAUAAGUCAUCCACCUGGGGAGUACGACCGCAAGGUUGAAACUCAAAGGAAUUGACGGGGGCCCGCACAAGCGGAGGAACAUGUGGUUUAAUUCGAUGAUACGCGAGGAACCUUACCCGGGCUUGAACUGCACAGGACUGAUACAGAGAUGUUGAUUCCCUUCGGGGCCUGUGCGGAGGUGCUGCAUGGUUGUCGUCAGCUCGUGCCGUGAGGUGUCGGCUUAAGUGCCAUAACGAGCGCAACCCCUUUCGUCAGUUGCCAUCAGGUUUUGCUGGGCACUCUGGCGACACUGCCACCGUAAGGUGCGAGGAAGGUGGGGAUGACGUCAAAUCAGCACGGCCCUUACGUCCGGGGCUACACACGUGUUACAAUGGCAGGUACAGAGGGCCGGCGCCUGGCAACAUGCGUCCAAUCCUUAAAGCCUGCCUCAGUUCGGAUUGGGGUCUGCAACCCGACCCCAUGAAGCUGGAUUCGCUAGUAAUCGCGCAUCAGCCAUGGCGCGGUGAAUACGAACCCGGGCCUUGCACACACCGCCCGUCAAG